GACGAACACUGGCGGCGUGCCUAAUACAUGCAAGUCGAGCGGACCACUUCGGUGGUCAGCGGCGGACGGGUGAGUAACACGUGGGCAACCUGCCUGUAAGACUGGGAUAACACCGGGAAACCGGUGCUAAUACCGGAUAAUCCUCCCCUUCAAAUGCGGGAAAGCUGAAAGACGGUUUCGGCUGGCACUUACAGAUGGGCCCGCGGCGCAUUAGCUAGUUGGAGGGGUAACGGCGCACCAAGGCAACGCUGCGUAGCCGACCUGAGAGGGUGAUCGGCCACACUGGGACUGGGACACGGCCCAGACUCCUACGGGAGGCAGCAGUAGGGAAUCUUCCGCAAUGGACGAAAGUCUGACGGAGCAACGCCGCGUGAGCGAUGAAGGCCUUCGGGUCGUAAAGCUCUGUUGUCAGGGAAGAACAAGUACCGGAGUAACUGCCGGUACCUUGACGGUACCUGACCAGAAAGCCACGGCUAACUACGUGCCAGCCGCCGCGGUAACAC
rnacentral:rRNA from 1 species